GACUGGAAGACUAUGAUGUAGAAUUCUUUCCAAGCACAUAUCUGACUGCUUUAUGUGGAAAUCAACUAUUCCUGAGUCUUCAAGUC